rnacentral:RNase_P_RNA from 1 species
UCUGGAGGAAGGACAAUCGCUCGCCUUAGGCGAGAGGAAAGUCCAGGCAGCUGAAGGCAGGGUGGUCUAGUGUAAGCUAGACACGGGUAACCGCUAGUUAGAGCCACAGAGACUACAACUCAUCUCUUCACCCUAGUAGGGUGGAGAGGAAGAGGGUGAAAAGGGGCAAUCCUCCCCGCUGCAACCUCCGACCGGGACGUUAUCAGGAUGCCUUCCCGAGUCCCAAGGCUGAGGGCUUAGACAGAUGAUUGUCUGAAACAGAACCUGGCUUACUAUUCUCCAGAGUAC